rnacentral:rRNA from 1 species
CAUCGCCUCUUGAUUAAACAUAAGAGGUCCAGCCUGCCCAAUGAUUCUUUCAAUGGCCGCGGUACCCUGACCGUGCAAAGGUAGCAUAAUCAUUUGUUCUCUAAAUAAGGACUCGUAUCAACGGCAUCACGAGGGUUAUACUGUCUCCCUUUUUUAAUCAGUGAAACUGACCUCCCCGUGAAGAGGCGAGGAUUGUACUACAAGACGAGAAGACCCCAUGGAGCUUUAAACCCAAUAAUAACCUUUGCCAUAAAAUAAUCUAUAAAAUACAAAGACCUUAUUUAUUGGUUUUAGGUUGGGGUGACCACGGAGUAAAACAAAACCUCCUUGACGAACAGGUCUUAACCUAAUCCAAGAAUUACUAUUCUAAGAAUCAAAAAUUUGACGUAAAAUGAUCCGGCAACCGAUCAACGAACCAAGUUACCCUGGGGAUAACAGCGCAAUCCAUUUCAAGAGCCCCUAUCGACAAAUGGGUUUACGACCUCGAUGUUGGAUCAGGGUAUCCCAGUGGUGCAGCCGCUACUAAAGGUUUGUUUGUUCAACAAUUAAUACCCUACGUGAUCUGAGUUCAGA